rnacentral:rRNA from 1 species
GACGAACGCUGGCGGCGUGCUUAACACAUGCCAGUCGAACGGAAAGGCCCUGCUUUUGUGGGGUGCUCGAGUGGCGAACGGGUGAGUAACACGUGAGUAACCUGCCCUUGACUUUGGGAUAACUUCAGGAAACUGGGGCUAAUACCGGAUAGGAGCUCCUGCUGCAUGGUGGGGGUUGGAAAGUUUCGGCGGUUGGGGAUGGACUCGCGGCUUAUCAGCUUGUUGGUGGGGUAGUGGCUUACCAAGGCUUUGACGGGUAGCCGGCCUGAGAGGGUGACCGGCCACAUUGGGACUGAGAUACGGGCCAGACUCCUACGGGAGGCAGCAGGGGGGAAUAUUGCACAAUGGGCGGAAGCCUGAUGCAGCAACGCCGCGUGCGGGAUGACGGCCUUCGGGUUGUAAACCGCUUUCGCCUGUGACGAAGCGUGAGUGACGGUAAUGGGUAAAGAAGCACCGGCUAACUACGUG